CCCCACUCAAAUCAGAUGUUACUCUGAUUUUAUUUUUAUUUUAGUAAACUCUGAAAAGUCUAACAGACAGCUGGUGCUUAGAAUAGAGUUGAAUAACUAUUAAAAAAAACAUGAUUUAAUAUUUAAUCUGGAAAGGCUGGAGUCUUAAUUUAAAAUUCACGGUUAAGAGAAAAUUCCAACACAUAGAACACAAGAUAAUAAAGAAAAGUUAGACAUUGGACUUCGAUAAAACUAUGCAGUUAUGAAACGUAACUUUAAUUUGAGACAACCUGAUUUGCUCAGUUGUAAAUAAAACAGCAAAGUAAACGUGACCCGACAGACAGGACCUGGGUGAAUUAUGUCAAGUGUUUAACCAUGUUGAUCAUAUUCUAAUAUUCCAGCUGAAGCCGAGACUCACAUAACUAAAAGUGAAAAUACGGUACAGUAUAUGCAAAUAUGUGAUCUCUGUGAUUACGUCACACAUGCUAACAGUCGGCUCUUCGUGCUACUAAGAAUCUGAGGAAUCAUCUGCAGCAGUCUGAGAAAGGUAAGAGUCACAAAAUUAUAAAUAAAUAAAUACAGUUAUCUGCCCUCACAAGAUGCACUCCCAGAUGUUUUUCCAAUCGCCUACAAGAGUGUGGACAGACUGAAGAGACAGUCAUUUCAAUCAUCAGUGAAAAACAGAAAGUAGUCAAUUACAAAACGAAACUCCAAACACACAUCAGAGGAUGACUCAGCUCAGGCCACAAAAACUGAACCCUGAAUAGGUGAAAACACCACCACGCCCACGAUUCUGGUAAUCCCAGCACAGAGAGCAGACCUCUGACAGCCUCCUGUCACAGAUGAACACUCUCCAAGUCCUCCUGUUUUUGUCUCUAAAUCUUGGAUCUACAGUGCAAGACAAGAAAGAAGUGGAGGUUGGAGAGGAUGCAACUCUCGAUUGUCAGGGUCCCCAUGAAGGGAACAUCUUACGGGUAGCAUGGACCAAGAGUGACCUGAAAGCAGACGAUUACGUCUUUUUCUUCCGGGAAGAUCGUCUUUACAAAACAUACCAGCAUGAAUUAUUCAAAGAUUGAGUGGAGCUGGAAGACCCAAACAUGAAAAAUGGAAAAAUGUCCAUCAUUCUUCACAAUGUCACCGUUAAUGACACUGGAACAUAUGAGUGCCACAUCUCAUAUGAAACAGAUCACAGCCAGAGAUCUGAGGUUAAGCGGGAAACCAAGGUGAAAGUUACACCUGCAGGUGAGGUGAAGCCUCGAGUGUGUCCUCUGUAUCAGUUUGUCCCUCGAUGAGCAAGACUAGUUUAUUAGUAAAAUAUCAACUUCCAACAAUGCCAAGAUAAAUGCAUCUAUCCACUUUCCUCCUGUUCUGCUACUGCAGUAUGAAUCACAGCUAAGCAGACAGACAGCUCUUUGACCAGUGACAGGUGUGUUGUCUACUUUAUUAAGACGGCCCUUCAUAAUGCGAAGUAAAACUAACAGACAUCAGCAAACAUAUACCUCAGUCUCAGGGUCGACGC
ensembl:lncRNA